rnacentral:rRNA from 1 species
UACAGAGGGUGCGAGCGUUAAUCGGAAUUACUGGGCGUAAAGCGUGCGUAGACGGUUAUUUAAGUCGGGUGUGAAAGCCCCGGGCUCAACCUGGGAAUUGCAUUCGAGACUGAAUAGCUAGGGUACGGUAGAGGGAAGUGGAAUUUCCGGUGUAGCGGUGAAAUGCGUAGAUACCGUAAGGAAGACCAGUGGCGAAGGCGGGUCUCUGGACAGUUCCUGACGCUGAGGCACGAAGGUCAGGGGAGCAAACGGG